GAUGAACGCUGGCGGCGUGCCUAAUACAUGCAAGUCGAGCGAACAGACGAGGAGCUUGCUCCUCAGACGUUAGCGGCGGACGGGUGAGUAACACGUGGAUAACCUACCUAUAAGACUGGGAUAACUUCGGGAAACCGGAGCUAAUACCGGAUAAUAUAUUGAACCGCAUGGUUCAAUAGUGAAAGACGGUUUUGCUGUCACUUAUAGAUGGAUCCGCGCCGCAUUAGCUAGUUGGUAAGGUAACGGCUUACCAAGGCAACGAUGCGUAGCCGACCUGAGAGGGUGAUCGGCCACACUGGAACUGAGACACGGUCCAGACUCCUACGGGAGGCAGCAGUAGGGAAUCUUCCGCAAAGGGCGAAAGCCUGACGGAGCAACGCCGCGUGAGUGAUGAAGGUCUUCGGAUCGUAAAACUCUGUUAUUAGGGAAGAACAAAUGUGUAAGUAACUAUGCACGUCUUGACGGUACCUAAUCAGAAAGCCACGGCUAACUACGUG
rnacentral:rRNA from 1 species